UCCAUCCUAGGGUUACCCUCCAUGCUCCUGUAAUGGUCUCUUUGGUACCCUACUCGCGCCCCCUGCUUGCAGCGCCUUUUAGUUGAUUGCCCCACGGAAACCAUAUCCUCUCUUCAGUUGUCUGUCAAAACCAAAUUCCCAUUUGAUUCUAUUCUAGCCAGGAAGGAUCAUUGCCAACUUAACUUGAAGCUGGUGGAAGAAAGAUACUCUGAUGAUGGUGUGCUGGAGUUAGACGGUGAAGCUUCCUACAGUUCCUUCUCAGAUCCUCGGAGGUCACAGCACAGCCUUUCUGCUAGUGACUCCUUUGGUAAAUUUGAUGUGAAGGCCAAAGGUGCUGCAACUCAAAGGCCAAGGUGUGGCCUUAGGCGACGUCGCAGAGCCAGUAUUGAUAAUCAAAAUCCCUUAUGAUCCCAUCUCCCUAAAACAAAUUAGUUUUCCUAAACAUCCAUUAACAUUGUACGUGGAGAGGAUUAUUGAGCUGCAGGAUAAUAGACAUUUACGCGAAUACGAUCUGAGAUCGAUAUUUUGAUUAAGCUAUCCUCAGUGCCUACGCCUUCUUGCAUAACGAACACAAUCUCGAACACGAGUGCAAGGAAGUUGAAAGUCAUCGUGCUAUCAAAGUGUGAAACUAAGAGGCUGAUUGUGGAUGUUAAUCCCAUGGAUAGAGUUCAGGUGCUUUUUUAAAGACAGAUUUUGUAUGUACUUCUGUUAUACUAUUAUAUUAGUGAUGAAAUAAAGGGCUGAAACUGUGUAAAUAUAGGUUUUAAGGAAUGAGCUGGAAAAGCUACAACAUGAAAUGUAUGGAAUGCUUGCAUUCAUUUGUAAAAUGUGCAGGCAGAUGCUGCUUUUGGACUGCUUUUGUGAAAUGUUAGUGUAAUAGCCCUGGUUUUUAAGAGCGUUUAUUUAAACGUUAAAUAUAUUUAUUAAGUUAAUUAUGUUCUGAAAAUAUUAUUUUAUUUCA